rnacentral:tRNA from 1 species
AGGAGAAGUGGCAGAGCGGUUGAUUGCGGUAGUCUUGAAAACUAUUGAAUCGUGAGAUUCCGUGGGUUCGAAUCCCACCUUCUCCUA